UGGUUUUAAAGUUCUAAAGCAAGUUAUGAUUAACAUUUGACAAAGGUGGUGAUGUUUUCUCUUUAUGUAAUUAAAAACAGCUUUAUUUAUAUAUUGUACCAGCUGUAUUCAAAAUGCCACACUAUUUGUAUUCUCAGGAAUUUUCCCAUUUUUGAUUUUGUUUUUUAGUCGCUUCAUUGGGAUUAACCCAGAAAGGGGCACAAAAGUCGGUCAUGGGAAAAUGGUAUCCAAAAAGACAGGAAAGACCAUUCAAAAGAAAAAGUGACGGUCAAUGUUCAGGUUUCCCCCCUCAUCAAACACCUGAUGGACUUUGAGUGGCAUCUCAUUCAGAGUGUUAUGGGGUUCCCCUGUCUGACUCUGCUGACUUCCACUCCCAUGUGAUGGACCUGUCAUGUGGGCGAGGGAUCAGGAGAGCGAGAGGACCAGGACCGAUGCUGAUCUGACAGAACACCGGAAGAGCGGAGAGUUCAGUGUGUGUUAGCAGUGAAGCUAUUCAGUUGAGUGUAAUGGUUUGUUAGAGGGGCGAGCUGCAGCCUAAGGAAUAGCAGCUCACUCUUAUUUCUAAUAAACCCUGUUGACGGUACUACAUCUGCGGUGUGUUGGUGUCAUUACAGUAUUUACUUACAGUACUACACCACUUUAAAAGGUACAGGAUUGAAAAGGUAAAUGUGGAAUGUGGCAUCUAUAGACGCCAGUUUUUUUUUGUUUUUUUUUUUUUUUUUUUUUACCGUUUUUUGGAAAGAACGGUAAAAAAACAAAAAACAAAACUGGCGUCUGUAGCUACCAGUAUUUUUUUUUAUCAUUCUUUCACAAAAAACAGUAGAUUACCGUUCUUUCGAAAGAACGGUAAA